rnacentral:siRNA from 1 species
UCACAAAGUGCAAGGUUAAGAC